rnacentral:rRNA from 1 species
CCUACGGGAGGCUGCAGUGGGGAAUCUUGCACAAUGGGGGAAACCCUGAUGCAGCGACGCCGCGUGAGUGAAGAAGUAAUUCGUUAUGUAAAGCUCUAUCAGCAGGGAAGAAAAUGACGGUACCUGAGUAAGAAGCCCCGGCUAACUACGUGCCAGCAGCCGCGGUAAUACGUAGGGGGCAAGCGUUAUCCGGAUGUACUGGGUGUAAAGGGAGCGUAGACGGCAGUGCAAGUCUGGAGUGAAAGGCGGGGGCUCAACCCCCGGACUGCUCUGGAAACUGUACGGCUUGAGUGCAGGAGAGGUAAGUGGAAUUCCUAGUGUAGCGGUGAAAUGCGUAGAUAUUAGGAGGAACACCAGUGGCGAAGGCGGCUUACUGGACUGUAACUGACGUUGAGGCUCGAAAGCGUGGGGAGCAAACAGGAUUAGAUACCCCAGUAGUC